AUGCUGAACUAUAAUUAAAAUAGUAUCGGCGACAAUUUUGAUUAGCGGAGGCGCAGCGGGUAUGUACUGUGCCUCCACAGUGGAUCUCACACCAGGGCCCGAUUAACAUCCAUGUAUAUACUUACAUAGUAAGUAUUGUUGAAGCCAUUCUGUCAUCACAAGAACAAAAGAAAAUACAAUAUCACAUCCCGCAAUUCAGGUGUGUUUUUCUCAUGGAAGCCAAUACCCUAACCACGCCCACCCAUUCUCGCUCCCCGACACUGCUCAGCUUGCCGCCAGAGCUUCGAACGCUCGUAUUCCUCUACUAUUUCCGAUCCAUCACGAUAUGUCGGAGGCUGCACAGAAACCAAGAUGAAUCGGACUGGGAACGGCAUCUAGGAAUCCUGCUAGUCUGUCGCCAAAUCUACCAUGAGGCCGCGCAACUCUUGCUCCCAAAUGCGCGUGUCUUCUGCAACUCAAACGCGGAUUUAAUUGACACUCUGAUG
rnacentral:sRNA from 1 species